rnacentral:rRNA from 1 species
GAUGAACGUUGGCGGUGUGCCUAAUACAUGCAAGUCGAACGGAGUCAGUAGCAAUAUUGGCUCAGUGGCGAACGGGUGAGUAACGCGUUGGUGAUCUGCCUUGAAGUGUGGAAUAACGUUUCGAAAGAGACGCUAAUACCGCAUGUGCUCUCGAUUUUCAGAAAGUUGAGAGUAAAGGAUUUAUUCGCUUCAAGAGGAGCCUGCGUCCCAUCAGCUGGUUGGUAGGGUAACGGCCUACCAAGGCUAUGACGGGUAGGGGACCUGAGAGGGUGGCCCCCCAAAUGGAACUGAAACACGGUCCAUACACCUACGGGUGGCAGCAGUAGGGAAUAUUAGAAAUGGACGAAAGUCUGAUCUAGCAACACCGCGUGUGCGAAGAAGGGCCUUCGGGUCGUAAAGCACUUUUUGGAAGGAAUAGGAAGGAAUGUACUUCCAGAAUAAGUCUCGGCUAACUACGUG